rnacentral:rRNA from 1 species
GGGGGCGCCGGUGGCUAAUCCAUGGCAAGUCGAACGGAAUCUUAGGAUUUAGUGGCGGACGGGUGAGUAACGCGUGAGAAUUUGGCUUCAGGUCGGGGACAACAGUUGGAAACGACUGCUAAUACCGGAUGUGCCGGAAGGUGAAAGAUUUAUCGCCUGAAGAUAAGCUCGCGUCUGAUUAGCUAGUUGGUGGUGUAAGGGACUACCAAGGCGACGAUCAGUAGCUGGUCUGAGAGGAUGAUCAGCCACACUGGGACUGAGACACGGCCCAGACUCCUACGGGAGGCAGCAGUGGGGAAUUUUCCGCAAUGGGCGAAAGCCUGACGGAGCAAUACCGCGUGAGGGAGGAAGGCUCUUGGGUCGUAAACCUCUUUUCUCAAGGAAUAAGAAAGUGAAGGUACUUGAGGAAGAAGCAUCGGCUAACUCCGUGCCAGCAGCCGCGGUAAUACGGAGGAUGCAAGCCGUUUUAUUUUCCGGGAAUAUGGAAUUUGGGGCCCGUAAAACGGUCCGCCAGGUUGGAAUCUGAAAAGUUCUGGCUGUUAAAGAAUUCACGCUCAACCGUGAUCAAAGGCAGUGGAAACUACAGAACUGGAGUGCGGUCGGGGCAGAAGGAAUUCCUGGUGUAGCGGUGAAAUGCGUAGAGAUCAGGAAGAACACCGGUGGCGAAAGCGUUUCUGCUAGGGCCGUAACUGACACUGAGGGACGAAAGCUAGGGGAGCGAAUGGGAUUAGAUACCCCAGUAGUCCUAGCCGUAAACGAUGGAUACUAGGCGUGGCUUGUAUCGACCCGAGCCGUGCCGGGAGCUAACGCGUUAAGUAUCCCGCCCUGGGGAGUACGCACGCAAGUGUGGAAACUCAAAGGAAUUUGACGGGGGGGCACGCACAAGCGGUGGGAGUAUGUGGGUUUUAAUUUCGGAUUGCAAACGGCGAAAGAAACCCUUACCAAGAACUUUGACAUUGGGCGCGAAAUCCAUUCUUUGGAAUAAGGGGAAGAGAAGUGGUGCCCUUCGGGAGCGCGCACACAGGUGGUGCAUGGCUGUCGUCAGCUCGUGUCGUGAGAUGUUGGGUUAAGUCCCGCAACGAGCGCAACCCUCGUGUUUAGUUGCCAGCAUUAAGUUGGGCACUCUAGAGAGACUGCCGGUGACAAACCGGAGGAAGGUGAGGAUGACGUCAAGUCAGCAUGCCCCUUACGUUUUGGGCUACACACGUACUACAAUGCUACGGACAAAGGGCAGCUACACAGCGAUGUGAGGCAAAUCUCAUAAACCGUAGCUCAGUUCAGAUCGAAGGCUGCAACUCGCCUUCGUGAAGGAGGAAUCGCUAGUAAUUGCAGGUCAGCAUACUGCAGUGAAUUCGUUCCCGGGCCUUGUACACACCGCCCGUCACACCAUGGAAGUUGGUCACGCCCGAAGUCAGUACCCCAACCGUUGGAGGGGGAUGCCCGAAACGGUUGGAUUUGGGCCU